rnacentral:rRNA from 1 species
GACGAACGCUGGCGGCGUGCCUAAUACAUGCAAGUCGAACGAACCGCGACUAGGUGCUUGCACUUGGUCAAGGUGAGUGGCGAACGGGUGAGUAACACGUGGGUAACCUACCUCAUAGUGGGGGAUAACAGUCGGAAACGACUGCUAAUACCGCAUAGGACAUAGGAUCACAUGAUUCUGUGAGGAAAGGUGGCGCAAGCUAUCGCUAAGAGAUGGACCCGCGGUGCAUUAGCUAGUUGGUAGGGUAAAGGCCUACCAAGGCGAUGAUGCAUAGCCGACCUGAGAGGGUGAUCGGCCACAUUGGGACUGAGACACGGCCCAAACUCCUACGGGAGGCAGCAGUAGGGAAUCUUCCGCAAUGGACGCAAGUCUGACGGAGCAACGCCGCGUGAGUGAAGGAGGUCUUCGGAUCGUAAAGCUCUGUUGUUAGAGAAGAACAGCGCAUAGAGUAACUGUUAUGCGUGUGACGGUAUCUAACCAGAAAGCCACGGCUAACUACGUG